rnacentral:rRNA from 1 species
GACGAACGCUGGCGGCGUGCUUAACACAUGCAAGUCGAACGGAAAGGCCCCUUUGGGGGUGCUCGAGUGGCGAACGGGUGAGUAACACGUGAGUAACCUGCCCUUGACUUCGGGAUAACUUCAGGAAACUGGGGCUAAUACCGGAUAGGAAUCCUUGCUGCAUGGUGGGGGUUGGAAAGCUUUGGCGGUUUUGGAUGGACUCGCGGCUUAUCAGCUUGUUGGUGGGGUAGUGGCUUACCAAGGCUUUGACGGGUAGCCGGCCUGAGAGGGCGACCGGCCACAUUGGGACUGAGAUACGGCCCCGGCUCCCACCGGGGGCAGGCGUGGGGAAUAUUGCACAAUGGGCGGGAGCCUGAUGCAACCACGCCGCGUGCGGGAUGACGGCCUUCGGGUUGUAAACCGCUUUCAGCAGGGGAGAAGCUUGUGGUGACGGUACCUGCAGAAGAAGCACCGGCUAACUACGUG